UGUUUUCCCUUAGUUGAGCAGUUUGACUACAUAUGUGCCCAAUUGCAGAGUAAAUCUUGACUAGCAACUUUCAAAGACCUCACUGAGAACUUUGAGAGUCCCCACAGCAGAGAAAGUGAACAUGAGUGGCAGAUAUCGACAGAAGCAGAGGGAGAAG
rnacentral:lncRNA from 1 species